GUUGUAUUUGCUGGUGCUGAGAUUUCGAAUGUCACCAUAUUUGUGGAAAGGAGAAAGGCUUUAAAGCACAGUGAAAGUAAAAUAUGUGGCAACAGAAGUUGAAUGGGGCUCAUCUGAUGUGUGUGUGGGAAGUAGUUGCAGAGUUUUUAGUGACAGUAGUGGCUGCUGUUAAAUGGCCUGUAACACCUUGUUGCUAUCCACCUGACACAAAAUAGGAUGUUGGGGACCAAUAUUUCUCCAAGACACAGCAUAUUAAUUGGCCCACAAAAUGCAGCUCGUAGUUAGAUCCACAUAACUGUGUGUUCAUAAGAGGGAACAGUACAACAAUGCAAUAAUACAGACUGGUGUAAAACAAAGUGCUCAAAUGCCACAAUAAAAAUAGUACAGAUUUGAAGCUCCAUUGUCAAUAGGCAUAGGAAACAGAAUGAGGAUAGACAUUCGUAGCCUUUGGAGAAAGAUUCCUCGUCACUAAUGUGCGAUGUACAGGAAUAUCAGUAUGUUCGUCUUGCAGCGUCAAGUAAUACGUGUUUAGCAAUGGUGUGCUCCCCAGACUGCAAGUAGGUGUUCGAUCAACUGUGUAAUAAGAGUGUUGUUUCUGUCUUUUUUGGGGUGGGGCGAACUUGAUAUGUUGAAUGUGAUAGCAUUUUUUUUCUGGUGAUAGCUGCGGAGAAGCAGCUUGAUUGAUCCAUGGGACUUUACUGAGGUUGAAGGCUGCGUCACCUGACCUGACUACUGGUUGCCAGGAAAAGAGUGGAGUAUGUGCAGAAACACUUUGCUGGCUCUCUGAUAUGACAACAGGAAAUCGGCUGUUAUCAUGAAGGACCUCAUGUCUGCGAGAGAUUGAUCUCUGUCUCAACUUGACAUGCGUUGUGGGUAGCGGAUUACAAGAAAUAGAAUGUUCCUCCAGAUUCUACUGGGCGGCGUGCUGUGUGUCACCUGACCUGCGUACUGCUUGCCAGAGAAGCAUUGGAGUAUGUGCGGCAACAGUUGGCAGACUGAGUUGAUUUCAGAACAGGAAACUUACUGCCAUGACUGGCGUAUGUAGUUCAUGUGCAGCGAGUUGGUAGCGAGGAUGUUUCCAUGUGGGAGUUUCGGUUUCUAGUUUGUUCUGUGAUGUCUCUGGUCUGUUCUUUCCGCGCAUCACGUAGUUCAUUUGGGUCGGCACUAUAAUUCUUUGUGGCCACGUUCUUAGAGAUGUGAAAGAAGACUGGCAUUGGGAAUAUUUGUCUCGGUUGGUAGUGAGGUCGUGCUUCGGUUUAGUUAAUGUUUGAAUGCUAAAAUGAUUUUGAGUUCAUAAUGGCAAAUAUUUAGUCUCUUCAAAUGCCUUAAUGCAAGAAUCAUUGCUGUAAGUUUCUGUGUGGGAACAGUGUGCCUCUUGGGUUGUAAGUGGGUUACGGAAUUAUCUGGUGUUCUCAUUUGUCGGUAGGUGUACAAUCAACUGCAGAAUAAGAGUGCUGAUUCUGUAUGCA